AGGCAGAGNGACCCCAAAAAGCCGUCUCAGUUCGGAUCGCAGGCUGCAACCCGCCUGCGUGAAGUCGGAAUCGCUAGUAAUCGCGGAUCAGCAUGCCGCGGUGAAUACGUUCCCGGGCCUUGUACACACCGCCCGUCACACCAUGAGAGUCGGGAACACCCGAAGUCCGUAGCCUAACCGCAAGGAGGGCGCGGCCGAAGGUGGGUUCGAUAAUUGGGGUGAAGUCGUAACAAGGUACC
rnacentral:rRNA from 1 species